CAGUCGCCACGGGAAUACGGAGGGAGCUAGCAUUGUUCGGAAUUACUGGGCGUAAAGCGCACGUAGGCGGCUUUGUAAGUUAGAGGUGAAAGCCUGGAGCUCAACUCCAGAACUGCCUUUAAGACUGCAUCGCUUGAAUCCAGGAGAGGUGAGUGGAAUUCCGAGUGUAGAGGUGAAAUUCGUAGAUAUUCGGAAGAACACCAGUGGCGAAGGCGGCUCACUGGACUGGUAUUGACGCUGAAGUGCGAAAGCGUGGGGAGCAAACAGGAUUAGAUACCCCAGUAGUCCCUGUCUCUUAUAC
rnacentral:rRNA from 1 species